rnacentral:rRNA from 1 species
GACGAACGCUGGCGGCGUGCUUAACACAUGCAAGUCGAACGCUGAAGCUCAGCUUUUGUUGGGUGGAUGAGUGGCGAACGGGUGAGUAACACGUGAGUAACCUGCCCCCUUCUUUGGGAUAACGCCCGGAAACGGGUGCUAAUACUGGAUAUUCACUGGUCUUCGCAUGGGGGUUGGUGGAAAGGGUUUUUCUGGUGGGGGAUGGGCUCGCGGCCUAUCAGCUUGUUGGUGGGGUGAUGGCCUACCAAGGCUUUGACGGGUAGCCGGCCUGAGAGGGUGACCGGUCACAUUGGGACUGAGAUACGGCCCAGACUACUACGGGGGGCAGCAGUGGGGAAUAAUGCACAAUGGGCGCAAGCCUGAUGCAGCGACGCCGCGUGAGGGAUGGAGGCCUUCGGGUUGUGAACCUCUUUCGCUCAUGGUCAAGCCGCAACAAUGGUUGUGGUGAGGGUAGUGGGUAAAGAAGCGCCGGCUAACUACGUG